UAAAGCUCUUUUACCCGGGAAGAUAAUGACUGUACCGGGAGAAUAAGCUCCGGCUAACUUCGUGCCAGCAGCCGCGGUAAUACGAAGGGGGCUAGCGUUGUUCGGAAUUACUGGGCGUAAAGCGUGCGCAGGCGGUCUCUCAAGUCAGGGGUGAAAGCCCAGAGCUCAACUCUGGAAAUGCCUUUGAAACUGUGAGGCUUGAGUGCGGGAGAGGUGAGUGGAAUUCCCAGUGUAGAGGUGAAAUUCGUAGAUAUUGGGAAGAACACCGGUGGCGAAGGCGGCUCACUGGCCCGUUUCUGACGCUCAUGCACGAUAGCGUGGGGAUCAAACAGGAUUAGAUACCCUGGUAGUCCACGCUGUAAACUAUGGACGCUAGCCGUUGGGUAGCUUGCUAUUCAGUGGCGCAGCUAACGCAUUAAGCGUCCCGCCUGGGGAGUACGGCCGCAAGGUUGAAACUCAAAGGAAUUGACGGGGGCCCGCACAAGCGGUGGAGCAUGUGGUUU
rnacentral:rRNA from 2 species